rnacentral:rRNA from 1 species
AUUGAACGCUGGCGGCAGGCCUAACACAUGCAAGUCGAGCGGCGCGGCAGACGGGUGCGUAAUGCCUAGGACUCUGCAUGGUAGUGGGGGAUAACGUCCGGAAACGGGCGCUGAUACCGCAUCCUCUCGGCUUAGCCUAGGUCGGAUUAGCUAUUUGGUGGGGGAAAGGCCUACAAAGGCGACGGUCCGUAACUGGUCUGAGAGGAUGAUCAGUCACACUGGAACUGAGACACGGUCCAGACUCCUACGGGAGGCAGCAGUGGGGAAUAUUGGACAAUGGGCGAAAGCCUGAUGCAGCCAUGCCGCGUGUGUGAAGAAGGUCUUCGGGUUGUAAAGCACUUUAAGUUGGGAGGCGUUACCAACAGAAGAAGCACCGGCUAACUUCGUGCCAGCCGCCGCGGUAAUUC